CCCCACGAAUGUGUACACGUCGGGUAAAAAAACAUAAGAGACUGGAGUCCAGAGUCUCCAGACCAGUUACUGUUACCCCCAAGCUCUCUGAAAUCCAUGGAAGACGAAAGCACUAAGUGGGGUUCCACAGCAUGGACCCACCUCUCAUCAACAAGACAACAAUCACCCUUGAUCCAAUGCAUCACUAACUUCGUUUCAAUGGAUCUCAUGGCCAACACUUUACUCUCCGCCGGUGCUUCUCCGGCUAUGCUUCACUCUCUUCAAGAAAUCCCUGAUUUUACUCCUAAUAUUCAUGCUCUCUGCAUCAACGUCGGAACUCUUACCUCCGAUUGGUUGCCGGCGAUGAAAAUGGCGGCUGAUUUUGCUUUUAAGGCGGGGAAGCCGUGGGUCCUUGACCCAGUUGCUGCCGGAGCUUCAAGCUUCAGGUUGGAGGCUUGUCUUGAGCUUGUUAAGCUUAAGCCUUGUGUUAUUAGAGGAAAUGGGUCGGAGAUUUUGGCCCUUUUUAUGGCCUCUGUGGGCUCGAGUAAGGGUGUAGAUAGCACACAUGAUUCCACCGAUGCCAUUGACGCAGCAAAAGCCUUGGCUGAAGCAAAUGGCUGUAUUGUUGCGGUUUCUGGUGCUACUGACAUUGUUACAGAUGGUAAGCGGGUUGUAGGUGCACGAAAUGGGGUGGCUAUGCUACAAAAAAUUACAGCAACUGGAUGCUCAGUGACUGCUCUUAUUGCUGCAUUUGUUGCAGUAGACCCGGUACAUGCCUUUGAAGCCACAGCUACUGCACUUUCUGUAUUUGGUGUUGCUGCUGAGAUGGCAAUGGACUUUGCUAAAGGGCCAGCUUCGUUAAGGAUGCACUUGAUAGAUUCACUUCAUGGGCUUGAUCAGUCUACUGUACUAAGUCGGGUUAACAUCACCAGUUUGUAAGAAUACGUUCGAGACUAUAAUGCUAUGCCAAUGCUGAGUGAAUACAUGAAUUGGCAGCUGAAUGCGUAAAUGUACUUGGGAUCUAAAGAGAAAAGGAUGAGAAGAAAGAAAGGGGAAAUGAGAAUCAAGGGAAAGAAGUCGAUGCCUGAUUUGCAGAUUCUCUUACUAAAUGUUGUUUAAUUUGAGUAUUACUGCUAGUUUUUGCUACAAAAUUAUAUCUAUUAUACUUGUUUAUCAAUAAAUUAUGUCGUAUCCCUUUACCUCACCUGUGUCCAGGAGUUGGACAGAGCAACAUAGAUAAAACUUUUUGCGAUCAGGGUUAUCUUGACUCUUAAAUAUCCAUGGCGGAAGCUCAAUACUUAAUGUUUAUGGACACUGGGGAUGUUAGGCUAAAAACAUGGUAAAAUUUAAAAAAGUUCCAACUUGAGACACGUCAACAAUAAACCUGAGAUUGGUGGAAACACACAGACAAAUGCAUCUUGCUGCAGAACAACUUUAAGAGUUAAGAUGAAUGGUGAUCCUCAACAAUGAUUCUACGCCAUCUGCAACAUGUUGACCAGCUGGAAUAAGCGAACGCACCUCUGCAAAUCCACAAGCAUGUUUAAACUUUCCAGUACCUCCGGUCACUGACAGCCGUGACAUAGUGCUCCCUAUCCUGAAUACUCCAAAGAAGUUGAGGCUAUCACCGUACUCUCCUCCUUCAAGCAUGGCAGUAAAAGCCAUCAUCUGUGUACUCCCAUCUGCAGAGCUUGCUAUGUAGACUCCUUGAGCUUUCCCUACUGCCUGUGAGCCCAACUCAGGUGCAGUGGUCAAUAUAUCAUCAAUGACUGUGAUUGUUCCAAAUCCUAGUCCUAAAUUAUCCGGUCCUAACUGAGUCUGCACAUUAUUACCAUUGUUGUUGAUAUUUCCAGCAAAAGCUGUACCUGCUAAGCCAGUACCUAGUGGAAUGCCGUUUCCAUUAACAGUUGGAAGGGCACCAUUGGAAUUAGGAAUGGCUACCCCUUUGGGUGGGAGGAAGCCUACUGGUCUUGCAAACGGCACUUGGCCGCUGUAGAUGUUUCCUAGUAAGCCAGUGAUAGGCCUGGCUGUAGGGCUGUUGCCUCCGAGAACGUCAUGCAUGUAUAUCUCAAUAACAGGGACUUCUGAAACCGAUGGAUCAACUGCAGCCACUAAUGCCGCUACAUGCAGAGCUGCAAGUAACGCUGUGACAAAGAUAGUAGCUGACGACUGUUUUAACAUUUUGAUGUAUUUUUGAAGGAGAGGGAUUUGUUUAAUUGAAAUCCUUGAAGAAUAGUGUAUGUUGGUUGAAAUAGUAUAUGCUAUCAGACCCUGUGAUGUUCUUUAUAUAUAGAAUGUGAGGAAGAAUGAAAGGUGGAGUUGUUUUUA